rnacentral:lncRNA from 1 species
GGAAGAGAAAUCAGUAGCUCUUUUACCAAAUGGGUGCUUGGAAAAACUAAAUCAUCAGCACACCACAUUCAUACCAUCCAUGCAUGUACCUGAAACUAAUAAAUUUAGCAAAUUAAUUCUCUUUUAGACACAUUAAUUCAACAACUAAAAACACAUUAAAAUGAUGCAUUCAGCUAGGACACAUUAAAGCUAUUAAUAACUAAGACAUAUUAAACACAAAUAAACUAAGACACAUUUAAAACCUGCACUUAAAAUGUUCAACUUAAGACACAUUAAAAUGUUGUAGCUAGACAUAUU